rnacentral:tRNA from 1 species
GCGGGCGUGGUGAAAUUGGUAGACACGUCAGACUUAGGAUCUGAUGGCGCAAGUCAUGGGGGUUCAAGUCCCUUCGCCCGCACCA